GAAGCACCUGCCUGGCUUCUCUCCGCUCCCUCCAGCCACGGCAACUCUCAUUCCGAUUUUUACUCACAACACCCGAGAGGGAAACAAGCGUUAACCAGAACGCGCCAGCUGAAUCCGUUACCGGGACCGGGGCACCCCACCCGACCACAAGAGGAAGCCGCAUGCCCGGGCUUGGCUUCAGCGGUGGGAGAGGCUGCCGCUGCUGUCGCUGCUUUGCCCUUGACAAGACGCCUCGGGAUCGCGCAGACCCCCUCAACUCGCGAGGCCAGCGGCGUGCGGGAGACGUUCGCCAGGUCCGAGCUGCGCCCUGGGCCCUCCAGGCCUUACCCAAACGCCGCCCCCCCCCCAGUCGGCGGGGGACACACCGCGGGGUCUCAGAGCCGCGCGCAAGGGCCGGGAAGCUGGUACGAGGCCUGGGGAGAAGCUCGCUCCUCCGAGAAGUGGGUCCCACCUGUCCUGUCGUCGCGGGGCACCGAGGGGCCGCGACAGGGGGAGCCGAGACCGUGCGCGCCUGGCCAGCCGCGAUCUGCACCCCGCGGUACCAACUGUCAAGCUGCCGCCUGGGCCGUGGGGGUGGGGCCGCGAUGUGGACUCAGCCCCUCCGGGUCUCCAGACCCUUGCGGCCCCCGGCCCGAAGCCGCCCCUCUGCUGGCUUCUCAGGCUGCCCCAGGGGUCCGCUCGCCCCAAUCUGACUCCAGGCAGCCUUCCAGCCCGCACGCAGCACCUCUGAAAGGUGCCCACGGACGCCCCCGCCUUCCUCCCCGUCGCGACUCGGCCAGGGAGUCCCGCCGGCGGCCCGCCCCCUCACAGCCCCUGUCUCGGCCGCUGGCCCGCCCCCCGCGCCCACCCCCGCCAGCGGCAGAGCCGGGGGAGCGCCCGCCAGGUAUGCGCGCGGCACGGCGCGAGCUGCGCUCACGCCCCCUCGCCCCCAGGGCUGCCCGCCAGCCCACAGCUCCCUCGCCACAGGCCAAGCCCGCUAGACCGAUGUCCGAUGGGCAUCUUCCGCGACCCCGAGGCCAGCCUUCGCCCCCAGCCCCACGACUCACUUGCAUGGGGAGUCGCGGCAGCCGCCGGAAUUCCGCUCUCCGAGCCCCCAGCCGCGGAAUGAAAUCCGGGGCAGAGCAGCGUCGGGGCUUCGCACCCCAGUCGCGUUCUCUGGCCGGCUCGUGGGGCGCAGGGCGAGAGCCGUCUGCCAGGGCCGGCCCUUCCUGUUCGCCUCCUGCCUGCCGCCGCUGCCCGGCUCGCUGGUGCGAACGCUGCCGACUUGCCACCGCGAGCCUCCCGGGCUGCGGAGCAUGCCCAGUCCGCGGCCGAGCCGGCCCGGCUUCCCGCGCGACGAGAGUCCGCUCCUCCGGGUGUUCGCGGCGGCCGGGGAGGGGGGCGGGCCGGGCUGGCCGGGCGGGGUCCGCGGGGGACCACUGGGGGCUCUUCCUGGGACCGAGCGGGACGCGGACGGGGCUACACGCCGUGGAGUGA
rnacentral:lncRNA from 1 species